GUACAAAGGCGUCAUGUUCAGUUAGAGUGAAAUUCAUUCAGCCUUUGUCCCGCAAAUGUUUCCUGCAGGCCUGUGUCGCGUCAGGCUCUGCGGGCUCCCAAAAGGCCAGGAUUCCCUGGGGGACUCGGACCCACGUGGCCGAUGGGCACCUCGGGCCUGUGUGCUGCCUGUGGGCGUCUCUGCUCCGCACAAAAUGGUGGCGUGACUGCGAGCCCGCCAGCGUGGACUUCUAGGAAGGAGAACGAAGUACAACAGUAAUCUCAAGAAGAAGAAUCCACAUUCAAAGUCCAGAAAGCAACAGGACAAAGUUACCGUCCGGAAAGUCAUCCAAACAGACCAAUGAGCCGAACCUGUGCUCGCCGGCGUUGCCGGACUCCGGGCAGCACCCGACCUGGACCCAUCGGGUUUCCUUCUGGCUCAUGGUGCGAUCCGGUGUACUCACAUUGUGCUCUAAUAUAGCAAUUUAAAAUGAGAGAUUAAGAAAGAGGGGGGCACCUGGGUGGCUCAGUGGGUUAAAGCCGCUGCCUCCGG